UUUAGUUGCAUAAUGAGAUGAGAUGAGAUGAGAUGAAUAGAUAGAUGAAUUUUAGUUGCAUAAUGAGAUGAGAUGUAUGUGCUCUGUUUUUUUAGAUGAGUUGAGAUGUUUAUGAUAUGUUUUGUGGAAAUGUGCUCUGUUUUUUUAGAUGAUUAGAUAGAUAGAUGGAUGAAAUGUAAUAACUCAAUGUGAUAGAUAGAUGUCUUGUGGAGAUGAGAUGAGAUGGAAGAGAAUAUUUUUCAUGUUUUUUUAGAUAGAGAAACAAAUGUUAAAUUUUGCAUAUGCAUGAUGACUUAAAUUUUGAAAUGAAUAUGUGAAGCUCCCAUUUUUUGGAAAUGAAAAUGUGAAGGUAGUAUUUUUGUUAAAUGAAAAUGUGAAGCAAGUCUUUUUUUGAAAUGAAAAUGUGAAGGUAGUAUUUUUGUUAAAUGAAAAUGUGAAGCAAGUCUUUUUUUGAAAUAAAAAUGUGAAGGUAGUAUUUUUAUUCAUAGAAUAUUUUUUUGUUCAUAGCAUUUUUUGGUCCAUGUAUGUGUAUGGAUGGAUGGAUGGAUGGAUGGAUG
rnacentral:lncRNA from 1 species